UCCUGGUGGGAGACCUAACUAAUGUUUUAAGAGGUUUGGCAAUUUCCAAAUCUCUUCUUGCUUUGGCACUAUACUCUAGGCACUAUACUAACUUCUGUUCAUGAGUCUGCUCCUAGCAGGACCACUCGUCCCACAGAUGUGGUCUUAUAUCCUUUUCAGCUGGGAAAUUGGGUCCUCCUAAAUAUCUGGAAAUAACAAGGACCUGAACACCAAUUUGCUGCCAAGUGGACAAGGCCAUUUGAGCUGCUGAAUGCACACUCAUCAGUUCAACUUGCUGGAGUAAAGCCAUGUGCACAUCAUACUCAGGUCAAGGCAGCACCACCAGAAGACACCCCACUAACCCAGGAAAACAGUGGGCUUGUGAGCCCCGGAAAGACCUAAAGCUACUCUUUCACAAAAAAGGUGAGCCACAGCGAGAAGACACCAUUCAUGAACCAGGACGACGUCCCUCGCCACACACUGAAUCUGCAAACGCAUUGAUCUUGAACUUCUCAGACUUCAGAACUCACCAAGACAGGCCCGACUGACCGCCAUGUGGCCCUGAGUCCAGCCGUGCAUACAGUGAGAAUACGAAGCACCAAUAACGUCACCGGGAGAAAGAGGAGGAAAAAAGACGCUGCUAACUCACCGCGAGGCAGAGGGCAAGUACAGACAAGAUUUGCAGAGACCGCAAG
rnacentral:lncRNA from 1 species